rnacentral:rRNA from 1 species
AUUGAACGCUGGCGGCAGGCCUAACACAUGCAAGUCGAGCGAGCGGCGGACGGGUGAGUAAUGUAUGGGGACUGCCUGAUGGAGGGGGAUAACUACUGGAAACGGUGGCUAAUACCGCAUACUAUCGGAUAACCCAUAGGGGAUUAGCUUGUUGGUGAGGUAAUGGCUCACCAAGGCGACGAUCCCUAGCUGGUCUGAGAGGAUGAGCAGCCACACUGGAACUGAGACACGGCCCAGACUCCUACGGAGGCAGCAGUGGGGAAUAUUGCACAAUGGGCGCAAGCCUGAUGCAGCCAUGCCGCGUGUAUGAAGAAGGCCUUCGGGUUGUAAAGUACUUUCAGCCGGGAGGCGUUACCGGCAGAAGAAGCACCGGCUAACUCCGUGCCAGCAGCCGCGGUAAUUC